AUUGAACGCUGGCGGCAUGCUUUACACAUGCAAGUCGAACGGUAGCAGGGUGCUUGCACCGCUGACGAGUGGCGAACGGGUGAGUAAUGCGUCGGAACGUACCGAGUAGUGGGGGAUAACGCAGCGAAAGUUGUGCUAAUACCGCAUACGUACUGAGGUAGAAAGUGGGGGACCUUCGGGCCUCACGCUAUUCGAGCGGCCGACGUCUGAUUAGCUAGUAGGUGAGGUAAAGGCUCACCUAGGCGACGAUCAGUAGCGGGUCUGAGAGGAUGAUCCGCCACACUGGGACUGAGACACGGCCCAGACUCCUACGGGAGGCAGCAGUGGGGAAUUUUGGACAAUGGGCGAAAGCCUGAUCCAGCCAUGCCGCGUGUCUGAAGAAGGCCUUCGGGUUGUAAAGGACUUUUGUCGGGGAGGAAAUCCCCAGCGUUAAUACCGCUGGGGGAUGACAGUACCUGAAGAAUAAGCACCGGCUAACUACGUGCCAGCCGCCGCGGUAACAC
rnacentral:rRNA from 1 species